CAGCAGCCGCGGUAAAACGGAGGGUGCAAGCGUUAAUCGGAAUUACUGGGCGUAAAGCGCACGCAGGCGGUCUGGCAAGUCAGAUGUGAAAUCCCCGGGCUUAACCUGGGAACUGCAUUUGAAACUGGCAGGCUAGAGUCUUGUAGAGGGGGGUAGAAUUCCAGGUGUAGCGGUGAAAUGCGUAGAGAUCUGGAGGAAUACCGGUGGCGAAGGCGGCCCCCUGGACAAAGACUGACGCUCAGGUGCGAAAGCGUGGGGAGCAAACAGGAUUAGAUACCCCUGUAGUCCCUGUCUCUUAUAC
rnacentral:rRNA from 1 species